rnacentral:lncRNA from 1 species
UACUUGUACAUUGAGGAAGAGAAUACAGAAAUUAAUCCAUAAUGCAGAACAGAAACAAUUGGAAAUUCUCCUCUCUGCCACUGGAGGCUAUCAACCCAUCUUUAAAACUGGGCCUUAGGAAUUACCACAUGGGAAUCGAGGUGAAGAAAUUAAUGAAAGUCCCGCAGGGAGUGACUAGCACCCCUGAAAAUACCAUGUGGAAGUUUCUCUGACCUGGGAAGAUCUUAUCAAUGAUAUGAGCAAAUUAAUUGCUCAAAGAGGGGGAUGUAAGGAAGUGAAAU